CUUGAAAUGGUAGGGUGCCAUUGAAUCUAUUCCAACUUACAUCCAAGGAUUUCAAGUUCUUCAACUUACUUAAUUCUUGGAUACGAAAGGAACCUUCCAUGUAGUUGUAACUAAAUUUCAAUGUCUUGAGUGAUGUAAGAGCAUCCAAUGAUAAUAAGAUACUGCUAUUAAAUCUAUUUUCACCAAUAUCCAACUCCUAUAAUCUUUUAAAACUUGAAUAUCUAUUAUGAAAGUGGCCCUUCCAAAUUAUUAUCAGACAAGUCUAGUGUCUCAACGGAAGGAAAUAUGCUUGAGAAGCUUAAUAUACCAUUGUUGAAAUUAUUGUAAGACAUAUCCAAAUACUUCAAUUUGCUUAACUUUGAGAAAUUGCUUUUGAAAUCUGCUUAAGUUAUUUCAUUUGUGAAGUGCAAGUCAUUCAUAAAAAUUAACAAUCAACCAAUUGAAAUUAACAAUUAAUUAUAUAACCACUUUCAAAUUGAUUAAUCACAAUUUGUUGUGAUUUAAAUGGAGAGAGAAGCCCAUUCCAACCUUGAAGUACGAAUGGAUCUGAAGUUUACCUUGAAAUGGUAGGGUGCUAUUGA
rnacentral:misc_RNA from 1 species